UCCACAGUAGUGUACAACUGGAGCAACCUGUAAUUGGGAGGUGGAGACAGCAGGAUCUCUGCAAGCUCAAAGUCAAUGUCUCAGUUACUUCUCUAUUGCUGUGAAGAAGCACCAUUACCAAGGCAACUCAUAAAAUAAAGCCUUCAAUUGGGAGUUUGCUUACAGUUUCAGAGGGUCAGUCCAUAAUCAUCAUGGUGGGGAGAAGGCAGGCAGGCAUGUUGCUAUAGGAGAAACACAGAGUCCAUGGAAUGUCAUAGGCUUUUGAAAGCUCAAAGCCUACCCACGAUGACACACUUCCUUUAAUGUGGUAUGUACCAUGUCAGUGUUUCCUUACCAAACACUUCCACCAACCAGAGACCGAGCAUUCAAAUAUAUGAGCCUGUGGGGAACAGUCCCACUCAAAAGAGAAAAAGAAAAAAAAAGGAAAGAAAAGAUAAAGAGGUUAUUUUUUUGCCCCUAUGGUGGGGCACACCUGUAAUUUCAGCCCUUGAGAGAUGGAAGCAGAAAGAUCAAGAAUUCAAGGUUAUUCUUGUCCAGAUAGCUAGUUUGAGGCCAACCUGGGCUACAUGCCACUCUGUUUCAAAAAAAAAAAAAUUGUGAUGAAUACAUUUCACCCAAGUAUUCUACUUUAGGAAUUUAUCCUAUAAUAAAACAUAUAUAACACAUGUGCAAACUCACUGACGCAAACAAGAGAAACUGUCUAAACAUUCUUUUUUGAAAAAAGCUAAGAUAAAUAAUUAUGGACACCCAGCAUACAGCCAUUCAAACAGCAAGAUGAUCUGUAUAUAUCAACAGGGAAAGAUGUCUAAAUUGGCCAUCACAUCUGAGAAGCCAUAGAAUGAUAUAUACAACUACAUUUGGGGAUAAAAAUAUAUGUAUAUUCAUUUAAGAAUAACUCAAAGAGAACAUACCAAAUCCAUUAGUGGCUAUUUUGAGAAUUAUAUAUUAUUUAAAUUUUUAAAAGAAAGUGUCUAUUUUCACUCCAGUAGUCAAGAAAAGUAUGUAUCUUUGAUUUCUUAACCAACUGUUCUAGAGGAUAACUCGAGACAUGUUUAGACUUGGGGAAGAGACUGAAUGUGGGCUCCACAGCACAGUGUGUGGGUUGUGGAGGUGGGUCAGUGUUGCAGUACAAAUCGGUCAGAAUGGUUCCCGUGUGUGUACCCUGGUGGUCUCUCCCUUGCUAGUUCAGCUCCAGCGGGCCAUGGGAUCUAGCCCUAAUUUAUCUCAGAUUAGUAUCUCUCCCAGCGGCCCUCUGGUAGCCUCGAACUUUCUGGUUCCAACUACCUGGUAAAAUCAAGACUCAACAAACUGUAACCCAACAAUCAGAUUUAUAUGUUAAAUUCUCAGUCCACAGUACAUCCACACAAUAAACUUAAAACCAAUUGAUAAGGAUAUAAACCUCCCACCUAGAUAAGAUAAAUUUGCCUACAGAAAUUCAUCCCAGCUACCUUGACAACUCAAGACCACCCAGAUUUGGGUCACCCUUCCCCGUCUCGAUCUUGAUUCUCCUUCUCUCCCACUUUAUAAAAGCUUUGUCCCUGCCUUAUUUUUUUUUUUUUUUUUUUUUACUGUCCAAUCAUGGCUUUGACCUAACUUGUCUGCCUUUACCCGUAUAAUGACAUCAACCUACAGGGUAGCAAGUGUUUUGUUUUCAUUGACCUGGCUUUUGAAACAACCCCAGGUUUCCCACUUGAGAAAAGGGAAAAAUAGCCAUCACAGAUAGCUCUCUGAAAACCUUUGUUCACCUCCAUUAAUAUCUUGUAAAGUCUUGGGACCUACAAGAGUCCCAGACCCUAAACCUAGUGGGAGGAUACAUAAGUGGGAGGAACAUAGACCUAGAAGAGUGAACAGAACUGGGAGAGUAGGUAGAACUGUGUAGGGCAAAGGUGGGGCCGUGAUGGAGCCAAGGCUGUGUCCUGGAUUGAUAAGUAGAAGAAGGAGGGGCCAGAAUGGCUAGGAGCAAAAAGAACCUAGCUGUGCACCUCUGAUCCCCUGUAGUAUUCCUGUGUGGGCUUUCCCUGCUCUGGGAUUUCUUCUCAUUCCUUUUUUCCAUGUAGCUUCUCCUUUUUUGAGUCUCCCACUUCCCACCCUAUCCCCCUCCUAUUGAAGGACUCCUGAGAGGCAGAUCAUGGAAAGGGUCAGCAAAUCUUUCCUUUGUUUUCUGCAGUUUGCAAACAUCCUCAUAAGAUUUUAGUUGCUUCUCUGUUUCAGUUCUAAUCCCAAGCUCUCAGGAGCUGGGACAAUGAAUUUUGGGGUGUUUAAUUGCUGCUUACUGGUGAAAGAUCUAGCCUCCAGAUCACAGGUACCAUGUAAGAGAAACUAGCCAUUGUUGAUCUUUUUAAAAUUAUACUCUGUUGUUAGCAAGUGGAUUUUUAGUCUUUCCUUCCGAAUUCUUUGAACAUCUUCUAUCUUCCUGAAACAAGUGACAAGGGUAUACGACCAGUUUUACUGUUUUGUCUUGCUUUUGAUAAAUCAUAAGGGAAUCUACAUGGGAUGAUUUGAAAGAAAAUUGCCCACAUAGGCCCAUAGGGAGUGGCCUUAUUAGGAGCAGGGCCUUGUUGGAGUAGAUGUGGCCUUGUUGGAGGAUGUGCAUCACUAGGGAACAGGCUUUGAGGUCUCAAAUGCUCAAGCCACGCCAGGUCUGUCAGUCUCCUCCUGUGCCUCUGGAUCCAGAUGUAGAAAUAUUGGCUACCUCUGCAGCACCCUGUCUGUCUGCCAGCAACCAUGCUUCCCACCAUGAUGAUAAUCCACUAAACCUCUGAAACUGUGAGUCAGUCCCAAUUAAAUUUUGUUGUUGUUGUUGUUGUUGUUAUAAGAGUUGCUGUGGUCAAGGUGUCUCUUCACAGCAAUAAAACUCUAAGGUUAUUUUAUGUCAGGGACUGAUUUUAUGGAGUAAACUUGAAUCAGCAUCACACUGUGUAUAAACACGGAGAAGCUUUCAUCAGCUACUCAUGACACUGAUUUCUUAGCUUGUAGAUGGUGGGAAGACUCAGUAAAUGUCACUAGUAUCCAACAUUAUUGCUGCUUCAUCCUUAUUAGUGUAUUUGGAAAGUUAAAUUUAAAUGGUUAGGGAUGUGGCUCAGUUGAUAGUUACCUAACCUGGACAAACCCUGGCUUCUAUCCCCUAUACCUUAAAAACCAAGUGUAGUGGCUCAUACCUGUAAUCCAGCACUCUGAUGGGAAGAGGAGAGAAAAUCAGGACCCCAAAUGCAUCUUGGCUACAAAGAGUUCCCAAUCCUUGAGCUACAUGAGUGACUGCCUUGGAAAAAAAUUCAAAAAUACAUAUUUAAUGAAAGAGGAUGUUGUUGCAUUUCAUGUAAAAUUUUACAUCAGAUGUAAUCAUUAGAACACAGGUGGUGAUGUUCUGUUUCUAAAUAGAGCUAGCAAUAGUCACCCAAAGUGGCUUACUAUAUUCUUUUGUUAAUAAGUGAAAAUAAUAACUAUCAUCACACAGAUUUAAUUUGCACAGACACUGCAAAUGUCUCUAAGUUAUUGCAGGGUAUUCACUGGAAUGGAAGUAGGCACAAUAUUUUUAAUUUAUAAUAAAAUCCCAUGCCAUCUGCUUUUCAGAAAAUAUGAUUGCAUGUGGGUAUUUUAAAUGAUCCUUUCUAGGAAUCUUCCUCAGCAUUUUCUGCCCUUAAAAUAUAAAUAAAUAAUAAAUCAGGCUUGGCCCAGCACUAAUUGGUUGCCAAGACUCAUUUUUGUAAAGAUCACUUUGGAGUUGUAGAUGUUCAUGAGAAGACUAAUUGCUAAGAGGUUUAAAUUAUGAUUAUUGUGAUUUAAUUGUUCAUAACAAUUUCCCUUUAGGAUUAUUUUUUUCCAAGUCAUUUAUUUCAUUUUACCAAAUGACCUUUUAAGAAAUUCUAUAAUCAGCAUACUUUGUCAAGCCAAAAUAGAAAACGUGAAGAUAUGGAGCUGCAAAGGCACAGUCAUGUUUCACCUGGUCCUCCUGCACCUCCUCCUCUUCCUCCCUUCCUCCUCCUCACCUGCUCCUCCUCCUACACUUCUUCCCUCCUAGCUCUACCUUCCCUCUUCUUUUCUUGUUUUAUUUUCUCCAUCAUUCUUCUAUUCCUCUGUUUCUCCUUAUCCCUCUGUACCCCCUGCCCUUGCUCUGAAGCCAUUCGUUUCACUAAAACGAUUCAAAAGAGAAAGAUGAAAAUAAAAAAAUAAAGAAUAAUCAUCUACCUUACUUUCCUCCUCGUUUAGGUCUACAUGAGAGGUAAACGUAUUUUAAAAUGGUAUUGACAGCAGCUGUAGGGUACAGACACGACUCAGUGCAUCUGCUAACAGCCUGACUUCUUGCUUUCCUCUUAGGGACGUGACUUUAUAAAGCUGGUAUCUUGACUUGGCUGCAGAAAAAGGUUCCUGAUAAGUUGGGACAAAGCAGCCAUUUUUAGUAGGAGGGUUAAGAAAAGGAGAGGCACUCAAGAAAGGAGUAAGACAUACCCAAGAGAAUGGGUGUAGCUCUCUCUAAGGAUACUCACCACUGCCUUUACAGUAGCCAUGUAUCCUGUUUUGGGUUCCUUCUGACUAUUCUACAUGACAACAUGGUUAUGAGCCUAUGAGGAGAAUGGUAGAAAGGUUUGAUAUCAGGGUGACAAGGUGUUUCUCCUUUGGUUGCUUUUGUCAGGAUAUUUUUGUCAUAGCCAGAAAAAAAAAAGCAAGAUAUAUAUCUUUAAGGAGUUUUACAGAUUAUUUUAGGCUGUGUGUGGUGGAUGGAAGGGACAGGUAGGAUGUCAUACAGGUGAGGCAGGUACAAGAUAGAACGAGGCCUGUCAUUGGAUGAGAAGGAAGGAUGGGCGGGAGAAAAGUUUUAGAGAGGAGGAGACUGGAGCAAGGAAAGGAAGCAGGGGAGAGAACAUGGCGGUGGAUGUUAAGAUUCCUCUCUGCACCUUUACAGGUUGUUAUGAAUUUCAUAAGGGAUGGAUGUGUACAGGGCUUUGUGUGUCUAGGUGGGCAAAUUAUAUCUUAUUAAUUGGUUGUAAGUUAAUUAAUUGUGUGAAUGUAUUGUACAUUGAGCAUUUAACACAUAAAUCUGGCUGUUGGGUUCCAGUUUGCUGAGUAAUGAUUUCACUGGGUGUUGGGAGUAUGAACAGAGUUUGUGACAGGGAGCUGUGCUAGUCUAUAGAAUGCUUGGGGCUAGCAUGAUGUGGGGCCAUGCUAGCACAACCCACGGAACACUAUGUGAAUCUCAGGCAUGGUAACAACUGCCAAGGGGACGGUAACAGAGAAACAGCUAGAGCACAGAUCCUUGGGAGUGGGAACUCGCAGGCAACCAGGAUGAGUGUCAUUGUUUAUAAUUUUACAGCAACAGGGACACAUUUAUGCCACAAUGUAUGUCUGAAGGUGAGAGAACAACUUUGGAGUUUGUUCUUCCAUCUUUACAUGGGCUCCAGGAAUUGAAUUCAGAUCAUCAGGUUUUACCGCAAGCUCCUUUAAUCACUGAGCAAUUUUGUUGGCCUCUCUCCUUACAUUUCUUUUGCAAAUGUCCUUAUUUUCUCUUAAGCACAGCAUUUUUGUCUUUCAGUUCUCUUAUUGCCAAUCUUUAGGAGUCCUAAAGGAUGUUCCUUUCUGUAAAGGGCAAUAUAAUGUUUCCUUUCUGUACACUGGGUGCUACUAAGUAUGUCAAUCAUCAAAACAUGGAAUCGAUAUAAAAAUAUGGCCUUGUCUGAGUUUGCAAUCCCAGGCAAGCUUUAUAGUAGGCUUAUAUGUCCGUGAGCAUGGACCCUUACUUCAUAACCAGCCUUGGACUCUGCCUCCUGUUUCUCUGGUAAAACAUUAAUUUUAAGAAAGGGAAAGUUUCAUAGCUGCCCCCAACCACUAGAAUUUAAAAUAUUAUGUGAAAUGGAAGAGGUGGGGGGAGCCAGGGGUUUAUUGAGGCCCACUAGGGAAAAAGUUACUGCCACUUCUGACCCAGGGUAGAGACUUGAUAUUCUAAACUUCCUAAAAUAUGAUGUACUAUUGUCUUCUCUCUAAAGAGAGAGGGAGGCCACUCCUCACAAAAUGAAUAUAACUGAUGACAUUUUACCGAAGUGGGUGGAAUAAUCAUCCUUUAAAGGGGUAAUGUGCUUAUGUGCUUUGUAAGUCCUCCCCUUCCGUUGCUUACAGUCCUCAAGUGCUUAGAAAAGCUAUUGAGAUCACACAUGCACACACGUGCACACACACACACACACACACACACACACACACACACACAAUUUUUUUUCUGCUCCUGUUCUUGAAUCCUAUGCCUGCUUGCCCUCAGGCUGGGCACUCUCACUCUUUGUAUGAAGUAUCCCCUACCCCAUGAUGUUGCUUUCACACUCAUCUCUAACUCAAAACAAUGUGACUUUCUCCCUCUUCUGCAUCUCCAUCUCACCAGCUACUGGGAUUUGCAUCUUACUUACCCUGCUGUUUUUCUCUCAAACUGAUAUAAGAUGGUCCCAAGCUUCCUUCUAAGUCUGUUUUUGAAAUUCUUUUAUAUAUAAGAAAGCUAAGAACCCACCAAAGGGAAUCCUAAUUCCUUGAUAACACUAGAAAGAGCCUGAGAAAUGUAACAAAGGGGAAACGGAACAGAAUUUACCUACAGAUGAUCAAAGGCAGCAUUCUCCAGUGACCAAAGUUGAGCAUAUUUAAAUAUAAAUUUCGUAUCAGCAAUAGUGUCAAACUUAUCUCCAUAACAGAAACCAAGGGGAAGGUUUAUCAGGAUUCUUGUUCUUAUUAUUUGUCUGAGACAGGAUCUUGCUAGGUAGCCAGGGUGGCUUGGUGUCUUGAUCCCCCAGCCUCUAUCUCCCAGGUAUUGAGAAUAUAGGCAUCGAGCCCAACAUAGAAUUCUCUUUUAAAUCAAGUUUUGUCUUGGUAGCUGGACUUCAUGUGACAUAAGAGAAAGGUGGUCAUGUGAGCUGGGGAGAUGGCUCAGUGGUUUAGAGCAUUUCCUGCUCUUGGCACAACACUGGUGUUCAGCUUUCCCUACCCAGGUCAGGUAACUCAUGACUGCUGGUAACUGCAGGAUAUCCAACACUUUCUUUUGACUUCUGUGGUCACCAGUACUCAUACCUGACCUUACGGUGUAUGUGUUCCACUUUGCUUUCUCUGUUGCUGUAAUAGACAUCAUACAUAGCCAAAGCAACCCCAGGAAGAAAGGGUUUUGUUGUUUCGGUUUUCUUUGUUGUUUUGGUUUUAAUCACACUGGUUUAUAUUCUGUCACUGAGGAAAGCCAAGGGUGGGACUUAAGACAAUGCUUGAAGCAGAAACCUCAGAGGAUUGCUGCUUACUAGGUAGUCCUAAGACUACCUACUGCCCACAGUGGGUUGGGCCCUCCUACACAAUUAGUAAUUAAGAAAAUGCCCUACAGAUAUGCCCACAAGCCAAUCUGCUGCAAGCAAUUCCUCAAUUAAGGUUAACAAUCAUAAACAAGUGCAUGCUAGAUUGCCUGAACCAGAAAAGUUAAUUAAUGGCUAUGAUUGCACAGCCAAAGUACAGAACUGAAUUCAUACAGAGCUGGAACCAAAGAUCACAUAGCUGCCAGUCAGUAGGAGGUCACCUAUAUUUCCAUCUGGUGGUUCAAUUCUUGAGCAUGCUCCAACCAAGACAAAGGUGAAAAUAACAGCCCAUGCUUCGGUGGACUUCUAAAGUCACAUCACAGAGAAAAGUUUGAGGUCAGGGUAUUUUCCUUCCAGAGGCAUGCUUAUCUCAUUCUUUUGUUUGAUGUGUGGAUUGUGAAUACAUUCCUGAGCCAGUCAGUUGCCCAAGAAGAGCAUUCCAGGCUGCCUACUCUAGUGAUGGGUAUCAGAUACGAGGAGAAUAGGAUGCAGAGAGACAACUGAGGGAAGAAUCUUUGUAUUCUGUAAUCAGAAGAAAGGGGGAAUGUGUUAGACUAAGGGUAGGCAACUUUGGCUAUCCAAAAAUUCCCCAAGAUCUACCUGUCUGUACUUCCCAGGAUUAUCGACAGGUCUGUGCCACUCUGCCUGCUUUUACAUGAGUUCUGGGGUUCAGAACUCAGGUCCUCAUGCUAAUGCACCACUGAGUUACUUCCCUACACCCCACAGCCACCUCUCUCUCCUUUGCUACCUUUGGUUGUCUUCAGGUGAGAAAACAGGAAACAUUCUGCUUUUAGUUUUAAUAUGGUUGGUGUUGAUAUGUUGUGUUUAGUUUUUCUUUCUUUUUAGUGUUUUAUAAUAUGAAUACCUCGCAGAGGGAAAUAGCUUUAAUUUCAAAAUCAGAAGUUCGCACUCCAGUGAACUGACAGGGAGACUGCAAGGCGAAUGGCAUCAAUGUUUAACUCUAUCUCCUUUUUAUUUUUGUGACGGUUAACCAACCUGACUAGAUUUGCAGUCACUUAAGAGGUAUACCCCAUGUUUGACUGAGGAGGGAAGACCCGCAUUGUGUUUGGGUGGCAUCAUCCCACUGAAGUUCUGAACAAAAAGGAGAAAGCAGGAUCAUGCCACCAAUGCUGCUAUCCCGACUCUACUGAACUGUACUGCUGGUGUAUCCGUGAAGUGUUUGCAAGUUGACUGAGCUGCUGCUACUGACCUGAACCGAACUGAAGAUGUCCUGACAACAAAGAUUUGCUUCAGAGAACCAUUUGUAAACAGGCCCACUUCCCCCGUGUCCUUUCCUUUCCACUUCCUCUGGUGGGUGGUGGGCUAGAAGGGAGGUUAAUGUGUUUUAAACCAUCAUUAAAAGUAGACUGUUAAAAAAUUAAA